GGGUCAGUAGGUUGGUCGUGCCACCGGUACGUACUGGUCUCACUGAUUCCUCCUUCCUGAAGAACCGUAAUGCCAUUAAUUUGGUGUUGCGGGGAAACAGGACUGUUACUUUGAAAAAAUUAGAGUGUUUAAAGCAGGCUAACGCUUGAAUACAUUAGCAUGGAAUAAUGAAAUAGGACGAUCGAUCCUAUUUUGUUGGUUUCUAGGAUUGACGCA
rnacentral:rRNA from 1 species